GGAGCAUAAUUGGACGUUAAAGCUGCCGAAACAAGCUAAGUAUGCCCAUGAGGAAGGUUAACACGGCCAUGUUGGAUUCAACACUGGCCGUGUUCCCAACAUAGCCACCAACACGGCCGUGUUGGAUGCAACAAACAUCAAAGAAAAAAAAGUUUUUAGGGAGCACGGCCACAAAGAGUAACACGGGCAUCAACACCAUAACGUGUUGGGAACACGGGCAUCAACACGGCCAUGUUC
rnacentral:lncRNA from 1 species